UACGAAGGGGGCUAGCGUUGCUCGGAAUCACUGGGCGUAAAGGGCGCGUAGGCGGCCAUUUAAGUCAGGGGUGAAAUCCUGGAGCUCAACUCCAGAACUGCCUUUGAUACUGAAGAUCUUGAGUUCGGGAGAGGUGAGUGGAACUGCGAGUGUAGAGGUGAAAUUCGUAGAUAUUCGCAAGAACACCAGAGGCGAAGGCGGCUCACUGGCCCGAUACUGACGCUGAGGCACGAAAGCGUGGGGAGCAAACAGG
rnacentral:rRNA from 1 species